GAUGAACGCUGGCGGCGUGCCUAAUACAUGCAAGUCGAGCGAACGGACGAGAAGCUUGCUUCUCUGAUGUUAGCGGCGGACGGGUGAGUAACACGUGGAUAACCUACCUAUAAGACUGGGAUAACUUCGGGAAACCAUAGCUAAUACCGGAUAAUAUUUUGAACCGCAUGGUUCAAAAGUGAAAGACGGUCUUGCCGUCACUUAUAGAUGGAUCCGCGCUGCAUUAGCUAGUUGGUAAGGUAACGGCUUACCAAGGCAACGAUGCAUAGCCGACCUGAGAGGGUGAUCGGCCACACUGGAACUGAGACACGGUCCAGACUCCUACGGGAGGCAGCAGUAGGGAAUCUUCCGCAAUGGGCGAAAGCCUGACGGAGCAACGCCGCGUGAGUGAUGAAGGUCUUCGGAUCGUAAAACUCUGUUAUUAGGGAAGAACAUAUGUGUAAGUAACUGUGCACAUCUUGACGGUACCUAAUCAGAAAGCCACGGCUAACUACGUG
rnacentral:rRNA from 1 species